rnacentral:rRNA from 1 species
GAGUAAUGUCUGGGAAACUGCCUGAUGGAGGGGGAUAACUACUGGAAACGGUAGCUAAUACCGCAUAACGUCGCAAGACCAAAGAGGGGGACCUUCGGGCCUCUUGCCAUCGGAUGUGCCCAGAUGGGAUUAGCUAGUAGGUGGGGUAACGGCUCACCUAGGCGACGAUCCCUAGCUGGUCUGAGAGGAUGACCAGCCACACUGGAACUGAGACACGGUCCAGACUCCUACGGGAGGCAGCAGUG